CAGUGGUAUCAGACCAAACAAACAUGCAUAUGUGGAUCUGCUGAAAGACACACUGGUGAGGGGUCUGACACCGGCCCUGGAGAAAGCUGUGAGGACUACCUGCAUCAGUUGGGAGACUGAGCCAUUAGCAACGGUGGUACAGCACUGCAAGCAUGCUGAGAGACAACAAAGUACUCAGAAGGAAGACAAAAUAAAGGAAGAAAAGUAAAGACACAGAAACUACAGGCUGCCCAGUUGACGUUUUACCAGGGAGCAGCCCCAGCAGGGACAGGACGAGGGGGUGGAGUGCGCAAGUGCUACAACUGUGGGAAGCCGGGUCAUUUUGCUGCUUACUGCUCCGAGCCAACGAAUCCACAGAGGAACAAUGGCAGGGGCAGACCGAGAAGAGGGGCCCGAGAGGAGGGGGCAAGAGGAGGAGGAAAAGGAGCACAUGCAUGGACAGCCCCAUUCCAACAGCCGUGGCAGCCACCUCCCAACCAAUGGCAGGUCGGGCCACCACACGGGGUCCAGCAACAGCAACAGUGGGGCACAGAAGGAGUCCCUCCAGGCAGAGGACAACCUGGAGCCUGGCAGACGGGCCGCGGGCACAGACGACCCUGUACAAUCCAGGACAGGGACAGGAGGAGGAGUAUUGACAUGAUGAGGAGACAGGGACAGUUGUGCUAAAAUCCUCAGAGGAACAAGAGCAUUUGUUUUUAAAGUGUCACACCCUUCCGAGAGUAGAGCCAACCGUGGAGGCUUGCGUAAAUGGACCUGAGCCCUAGGACCAUGCCUCAGGACUACCUGACAUGAUGACUCCUUGCUGUCCCCAGUCCACCUGGCCGUGCUGCUGCUCCAGUUUCAACCGUUCUGCCUUAUUAUUAUUGGACCAUGCUGGUCAUUUAUGAACAUUUGAACAUCUUGGCCAUGUUCUGUUAUAAUCUCCACCCGGCACAGCCAGAAGAGGACUGGCCACCCCACAUAGCCUGGUUCCUCUCUAGGUUUCUUCCUAGGUUUUGGCCUUUCUAGGGAGUUUUUCCUAGCCACCGUGCUUCUACACCUGUAUUGCUUGCUGUUUGGGGUUUUAGGCUGGGUUUCUGUACAGCACUUUGAGAUAUCAGCUGAUGUACGAAGGGCUAUAUAAAUACAUUUGAUUUGAUUUGAUGUUGUUGAGUGAAGACUCACCCCUCCUGAGAGGGGUCCCUGAAUGCCUAUGGGCAAGGGUCAAGUAUGAUUUUGGAAGAAUAAAGGGAGCUGAGCCAAUGGUAGUCACUCCUAAAGAUACCAGGUGCCCAUCUAGGGCACAGUAUCCACUCAGUAGGGAGGCAAUAGCAGGUAUUACUCCUGUUCAUGCAUCCUUGUUAGCUAAUGGUGCUUUAAUUCCCUGUCCAGAAUCACCCUAAAACACCCCUAUCUUGCCUGUUAGAAAACCUUCAGGUGAUUGGAGAUUGGUCCAGGACUUAAGGCCUGUGAACGAUGCAGUUUGUGCCCCGGUGGUUCCUAAUGUUACUACACUGUUGGGGGCGGUACCACCCACAGCAGAGUGGUUCUCUGUGAUUGAUUUGACAAAUGCAUUUUUCAGUAUUCCAGUGGCACCAGAAUCUCAGUUCUGGUUUGCUUCCACGUUUCUAGGAAAGCGAUUUACUUGGACUGUGGCUCCAAUGGGUUACGUGGAAUAGCACAACAUCUGGAGGGUUUUAUACCCCCUGAGGGCAGCACUCUGAUUCAGUAUGUGGAUGAUUUGUUGAUGUGCUCCAGCUCAAUGGAAACUUGUGAAACUGAUACUCGGGCUCUGUUGAUAUUUCUCGCAGAGAAUGGCCACAAAGUUUCAAAGAAGCUACCUUUUUACAGUUGGUUUCACAAACAGUGAGGUAUUUGGGUUAUGACAUCUCUCCCAAUGGCAGGCAGCUGGGUAAAGAGAGGAUACAGGCUAUUCUCCCUGUCCCACAGCUGGUUACUAAACGACACAUGAUGUCAUUGACUGGUAUGGCAGGGUAUUGUAGGGCGUGGUUACCUUACUAUGCUGAGGUGGUGCAGCCGCUUGCUGACCUUAUUUAUGGCCACAAAAUGGCUAUGAUUGACAAAAUUAAGUGGACACCAGAGGGACUGACUGCUCUGACCAGACUGAACCAACUCAUGACUACUUCUCCCUGUUUGGGGCUCCCUGACCACUCUAAACCUUUUAACCUCUUUGUUUGUGAGAAAAAUGGUUUUAUGUCAUCUGUUUUAACACAGGAACAUGGAGGAAAGCAGCACCCAGUUGGGUAUUAUUCCAAACAGCUGGACAGUGUCGCCAGAGGUCUGGUUUGUUGUUUGAGAGCUGUGGUUGCUGCCACUGAAGCUGUGUUGGCUUGUGCAGACAUUGUUGCCAUUUGUGAAUUCACUGAACACGUUCCUCAUGCUGUACAUGCUCUUAUUUCACAGGCAAAGACGGCCCAUCUAACACCAGCUCGACUGCUCCAUUAUCAGAAUGUUCUUCUGACAAUGUGUCAUGUGACCCUGAAGAGGUGCACUGUGUUAAAUCCUGCUACUUUGUUGCCCAAAGAGGAUGAUGGAGAGCCGCACGACUGUGCUGAAAUGUUGGAGCUUGUCUCUAAACCAAGGUCAGAUUUAACUGAUGUCCCUUUGCAAAAUGCACAUUUGGAACUGUUUGUAGAUGGCUCUGCUCAGCGUUCUGAGAAAGGAGAACCGUUGGUUGCGUAUGCGGUUACUACUGCCUCAACCACACUGGAAAGUGCUAAAUUACCCUCCCACCUUUCUGCAGCAGAACUCUUUGCACUCACCAGAGCUUGCAUAUUAGCUAGAGGCCAGUCUGCGACUAUCUAUACAGAUAGCAGAUAUGCCUUUGGUGUGGUACAUGAUUUUGGUACUCUGUGGAAACAGCGCGGCUUCCUGACCUCCUCUGGUAAGACGAUCUCUCAUUCAAAACUUGUUGAUAACUUGCUAAAAGCUAUUUUGCUCCCUUCUGAAAUUUCUGUUUGUAAGUGCCUUGCUCAUGCUAACUCUUCCGACCCUCUCUCCAAAGGUAAUGCUAUGGCUGACUUGGCAGCUAAGGCAGCAGCUGUCUCCUGGAGGCCCCUGUGUUACAGAUGGCUUUACUUCCUGAUCAUAACCUCUUCUCUCCCACUGAUAUCUCUGACUUGCAAUCCUUUGUAGGUCCUGUUGAGUUGAGGAAGUGGAAACGACUAUGUACAUAUGACCAGGUGCAGAAACUCUAGCUGGGCCCGGCUAGGCUACCAGUCUUACCACGUUCAUGUUUCCCCUACUUAGCUAAGUUGUCACAUGGAAGGGAUCAUGUGUCAAAGGGGGGAGUUGUUGAUUUUGUAAAUACAUUUUGUUUUGCACCUGGGUUUUCUGUGUUUGCUGAACAAUUUUGUGCAAAAUGUGUGAUUUGUAUGACUAACAACAUGGGAAGAGGGAUUCCCAUGCCACUGUUGGCUCAUCCAACCCCUGAAAGACCAUUUGAACACAUAAUGAUGGAUUUUAUUGAACUCUCUCCUUGUCAAGGUUACAAAUAUUGUCUGGUGAUAGUGGAUGCCUUCUCCAAGUGGGUAGAGGCAUUCCCAUGUCGACAUUCCACUGCUAUGGCAGUAGCCAAGAAUCUCCUGAGGGAGAUCAUCACAGGGUGGGGGUUACCAUCUAAAUUAACCAGCGACAAUGGCUCCCACUUUGUAAACCUGGUGAUACCUAACUUGUCUGAGAGUCUGCAGAUAGACCUCAGGACCCAUUGUAGCUAUAGGCCGCAAUCCGGUGGUUUAGUUGAACGCGCUAAUCAAACCCUAAAAUCUAAGAUGGUGAAGUUUAUGGCAGAGACAGGGCUUUCUUGGGUCACUGUGAUCCCCCUGGCUCUGAUGUACAUGCGAGGGUGGCCCCACAGAACCACUGGAUUGGAUCCUCAUGAGGUUCUGACAGGUAGACCAAUAAGGAUGAUUAAUUCUCCCUUCUCACAGAACAAGCUGACACUGAUGGGCUGUGACGAUGACAUGGUAAAUCAUUGUACUGCUCUAAACAAUGUUCUGAAGGCUAUUUUCCCCAGGGUGAAAGCGGCUCUACCCCAGCCACUGGUGGGGAUCCUGCACAAACUGCAACCAGGUGACUGGGUGGUGGUGAAAGACCUGAGACGAAAGCAUUGGAACCAGCAGAGGUGGACCAUACCAGAUGAUGCUGAUUACCUCCACUGCUGUUCGCGUAGGUGAGAGGUCUACUUGGAUCCACGCCAACCACUGCAGGAAGGUGCCAUACUGCCCACCAGACCCUGAGGAUGGAGGACCAGAGAUGCCGGAAGUCACAAACUAAAUGGCCAUGGGAGGAUCAGGCCCAGACUCUACACAUCAUGUUUCUUGCUCUGGUCUUGAGCCUUCUCAUUACAGUUGCCAUAUGGACAGUGACUCAAGGACAACCGGUCCUGGAAAGACAACAUGAUACGGACUCGACUGAUAACCGUUCAGUCCCAUGGCGGGACUUAAAUAACAGCCACUCCAGCUCCAGCCAACGGCAGGCUCAGGACAGGAGUCCAGCAAACAAUAGCCGCUCCCAUUUCGAAAGAAGAAGAAGGUCGAUGCAUCCACUGGAUGAGUAUCACAGUAGGAAUCACGAGGGAAACACUUGGUGGUCACUGCUUAACUAUACAGUAAAGACUGAACUGAUGUUAGGAAAUACCUCCUGUUAUGUAUGUAGCUUGUUUCCACAUUCAGCGAUCUCCCCAUUCUUACAGUAUUCAUUAGAGGUCAGCAUUAAUGGCACUCUAUGUGCACUAGAAGUGCUCUUGUCCAAUGAGAACACAGGGGGUCAACCCUCACUAGGUAGAACACUGAGGGAUAAAUGCAUUAAUGGCAAUUUGUCAUCAACAAAAGAUUUAUGGUGGGAAUUGAUUGUUCACAUUGGUGCAGUAGAAUCAUCUUAGAACCUAGAUCCCGUGUACCAGAACCUAUUCAAGUCCAACCCCGGUGAACCCCAUUUAGGACCUGUAAUUGUCAUAACCCAAGCAAUAUUUCCAUACCACAAUUUAAUGAAUCCUAUCUGGGAAUGUCAACAUGUGUCAAUUAUAGUGUUUUCCCAAUAAGAUGUAGCUGGAAGAAGGGAACAUGCAGCUCUGGAUACCCCAUUAGACUGAGGGUGGGACACACCAUUAUUGAUGCCGAAACUGACGAUCGUUCUCCUCAUCAAUUUGGCUCGGCAACAUUUACUGAUCAUUAUUGGAUUUGUGGUGAUAAAGCUAAUCUCUACCUACCCACAAAUUGGAAAGGGUGCUGUAUUUUUGGUAAACUAAACAUAUCCCUUGUGGUAAUGCAUAAAACUAAUUCCUCUAUUCCAAUCAGGUUAAGACUAAUUAAGAGGGACAUCUCGCAAUCCAAUAAUGUCCCCAGUGACUCUCGACGAUCCUCGAAAUUUGAAAAGUUCUGGCGUGAUUUAAUCCCCUGGAAUGGGGCAUCGGAGAAUGCACGUGAGUUGGAUAGGCUAGGAUAUCAUUUGGAAUCCCUGGUAAAUUUGACCACUGCAGGGUUUUCUAUGAUAAGACGAAAGUUACAAGCCACUCAACUCAUGGCAACACAAAAUAGGGUGGCACUUGACAUGUUGCUCGCACGUGAAGGAGGGGUGUGUCAAAUUAUAGGAGAUCACUGUUGUACAUUCAUACCCCAGGGAGAUGACAAUUUGACUAUUGUAGUGGAACAUUUGAAAGAGCUUAGUGGUGUUCUCGAAAGGGAACACCAGCCUGACAUCAACUGUAAUCCGUUAGGAUGGGUUCAGUCAGUGUUUGGUGCUUGGGCUGCGACCAUUUUCCACUGGUUCAUCUAUGGUCUAAUAUUACUGAUUGCUUUGUUGCUAAUUAUCAUUUGUGUGAAGAAAUUGUUUAAUAAAGUGGUUGAUGUUGUUCUUACUAUGCCCUUGCUUGCAAAUGAAGUAGGUGUAGAUAAAGAAUUUGAGAUUGAUGGACGGCAAUCAGGAGAACACAGUGAAAUAUUCUCACUGGACAGUGUAGAUAGAGAGGGUUCGCUGUAUAUGAAUGAUUUCCCUGACCUAUUCCCUAUUCCUAACUAUAUCUCUGAUAGUGGGGAACCCAAUUCUAAGCAUGAGGACUUAGAGAGAUGACUGUCCUAUAGGUUCUAAUGAGGCCUGUGUUUAGACACUGGUUCUCUUCUGUUUUGUUAUUUUAUUUUUUUACUCAACAAAUGUAUUAUUCUAUAUGAUUAAACAGGUGCAAGUCUGUAUUGUGGUAUAAAAGUUGUAAACUCAGUAAUUUGACUAUAUACUCUGCAACUACUGUUAGUAAGGUGCCAUGUUACUAUUCUGAUUCUUCAGAAGGGACUGAGUCCCUUGAGAGGGGCAUGUGGGGGAUGAAUCAGAAUUAGUUGGGUAACAUAGAUAAGAUGUUUUAUUUUCAUAAUAUGCUUGUGAGAUACUUGUAAUUUAGAAUGUAUCUUUUUGUACUAUAGUGUUGGCCGUUUGCAGUUAUCCUUUCUCUGUCAGGGCUCAGUUACUUGGGCCCCAGAGAGGGGAGAGGUCAGGCUUGUCUUCAUAUGUAAAUGUAUCUUUUAAACCAUGUGAAGGAAUGAUUGAGGGGGAACCAAUUAUCUCUUGGCUCCACAAUGUCUGUGUGCCAGUCACUCCCUACUUUUGUCAUUGGGGAGAGGAAGAUGGCAGUGUCUGGAAUCAUUGUAUGUUCCCUCUGAGGUUGCCCUUAUCUUGACCUAGAGGCUCACUCUCCUCUCCGUGAGCUUGUCCAGGAGGGAUUGUAUUUGAGAUGGGAGUAUCUAAAAUGACAAUUGAUAUAUACCAUUGGAUGAGGUAAUGUUUUGGUACUAUUUUGUACCAAGAACGAGAUAAGAGCUUUGUUUAGGAGACCAAACUGAACGAUAAUUUAUAGCCAAUGCUGUCUGGCUAUGGGAUACUUCUCUCUGAAGUAGUCUUUCUUUGUGUAAUAUUCCUAAGACCUGUGGUUUGUCAUGUCGACUAGGGGGGUGGAUCUUUGCUAUAAAAGAUCUCAGUUGCCAUGAUGUUGACCACUCUCAACUUUUUAUUAGAGAUACUGAAAUGUCAAAAUGCUAUUGCAAAAGCUUAAUUAUUAUUAAAGGUGAAGAUUAAGCAUAA